rnacentral:rRNA from 1 species
AUGAGGAAGCUGGUGAGUGCGUGGCUGCUAGGCGCCCUGGGGCUGGCCGAGCUGCUCGUCAUCGCGGUCGUCCACCUGACCUACGGGUUCUACCUCUUCACCAUCGCCGUCUGCCGCGACCUCUCCCGGCUGGCCGGCGCGCCGAAGGACGCCGUCGUGGGCGACGGCCAAGCGGAGGCUGUGCUCGACGGCGCGGUGCCGCCGAUCGUGCUGGUCCACGGCGUCUUGGGGUUCGGCAAGGGCAGGAUGGCCGGGAUGUCCUACUUCGCCGGCGCGGAGGAGAAGGACGACCGGGUGCUAGUGCCCGACCUGGGCUCGCUCACCAGCGUGCACGACAGGGCCCGGGCGCUGUUCUACUACCUGAAAGGAGGACGGGUGGACUACGGCGAGGAGCACAGCAGGACGUACGGGCACGCCCGCUUCGGCAGAGCAUACGACCGCGGGCACUACCCAAUGUGGGACGAGGAGCACCCAGCCCACUUCGUGGGCCACUCGGCCGGCGCGCAGGUCAUCAGGCUCCUGCAACAGAUGCUCCAUGACAAGGCAUUCGACGGGUACGAGAACACCUCUGAGAACUGGGUGGUGAGCGUCACCUCCCUCUCUGGCGUGCUCAAUGGUUCCACGACAGCCUACCUCGGCGGAAUACGUCCAGAAGAUGGCCGGUCUAUAAGGUUCGUCUGCCUCGCCCAGAUCUACCGAGUGGGUACCACCAUCUACCACUGGCUCGACAUACCCUGGCUCAGGCGCUACUACGACUUCGGCUUCGACCACUUUGGCAUGUCUUGGCGCACAGUCGGUGUGUCAGGCCUACCCAGCCUACUCGCUGGCACCUCGGGACCGUUCGCCACAGGAGACUGGAUUCUACCGGACCUCACCAUCCAGAAUGCCGCGAGGAUGAACGCCGAUGUGCGCACCUUCCCUGACACGUUCUACUUCAGCUACGCUACCAGGCGGACGACCAAGUUUUGUGGCAUCACCGUGCCGUCCGGUGUUAUGCACAUUCACCCUCUUGUGUUCAUACACGUCAUGCAGUUGUGUCGGUGGCGCCACUUCGCCGCCGAGCCCCCUUGCAAAGGUUACAGGGAUGAAGAUUGGGAGGAUAAUGAUGGUGCAUUGAAUACUAUCUCCAUGACACAUCCUCGGAUUCCAGUAGAACACCCGAGCAUCUUCGUAGAGGAUGAUUCGGAUUGCCAUCAACUUCAACCAGGAAUCUGGUAUUACAAGAUCGUGGAGGCAGAUCACAUGACGUUUGUGAUGAACCGCCCUAAAGGAAGCGUGCAAUUCGAUCUCAUAUACGACAACAUCUUUAGGAACUGCAGGAAAAAUGUGUUUAGGACGGCCCCACUUACGCUACCAAAUCAAAACUCGACCUAG